GAAUUAAGACACAGAUGGUACUGUAAAAGAAUUGCAAAUUCUUUAUUUAGGGUUCGAUUCCCUCUUAAUUCU
rfam:Tilletia controversa strain DAOM 236426 scaffold_1, whole genome shotgun sequence.